UUACGGCCACAUCACACUGAAACACCGGUCCCCGUCCGAUGAUCGAAGUUAAGCAACAUCGAGCCUGGUCAGUACCUAGAUGAGUGACCGUUUGGGAAAACCAGAUGC